rnacentral:rRNA from 1 species
GAACCCCGUUUACAANCCCCCGGNCGGNCGAUGUUNGNNGAAAAACCGGCGCCNUCCCCCNGAGAUCGGCGAGAGCCCGCCUCCNUGCGAGUCGGGCUCCNNNCCGGCACCAACAAACCCCGGCGCGGAUUGCGCCAAGGACCAUGAACAAUAGCGCGUCCCAUGCCACUCGGUUGCCCGAAGUGCGCGUGGGGCGACGUGUCGUUUCGAUACAUUAGAACGACUCUCGGCAACGGAUAUCUCGGCUCUCGCAUCGAUGAAGAACGUAGCGAAAUGCGAUACUUGGUGUGAAUUGCAGAAUCCCGUGAACCAUCGAGUCUUUGAACGCAAGUUGCGCCCGAAGCCUUCGGGCCAAGGGCACGUCUGCCUGGGCGUCACGCACCGCGUCGCCCCCCNCCCCAAACCAAGGGGAUCGGGGGSGGAUUAUGGCCCCCCGUGCGCUCCUAGCUCGCGGUCGGCCUAAACACAGACCCCGUGGCCGCGAAACGCCGCGAUGAUUGGUGGUGUACUUGUGGCCUUGUGCCCCGAGCAUCGCGUCGCGGCUUUGGCGUGCCAUGUGUGCUCAAAGGACCCCUUGCGACCCCAGGUCAGGCGGGACUACCCGCUGAGUUUAAGCAUAUCAAUAAGCGGAGGAAAAGA